rnacentral:tRNA from 1 species
GGAUUGCGGCUCAGUGAUAGAGCACUUGCCUUUCAUGCGUGAGGCACUGAGUUCAAUCCUCAGCACCA